rnacentral:rRNA from 1 species
UACGGGGGGGGCAAGCGUUGUUCGGAAUUACUGGGCGUAAAGGGCUUGUAGGCGGCCAACUAAGUCAGACGUGAAAUCCCUCGGCUUAACCGGGGAACUGCGUCUGAUACUGGAUGGCUUGAGAUUGGGAGAGGGAUGCGGAAUUCCAGGUGUAGCGGUGAAAUGCGUAGAUAUCUGGAGGAACACCGGUGGCGAAGGCGGCAUCCUGGACCAACACUGACGCUGAGGAGCGAAAGCCAGGGGAGCAAACGGG